rnacentral:rRNA from 1 species
GAUGAACGCUGGCGGCGUGCCUAAUACAUGCAAGUCGAGCGAACAGACGAGGAGCUUGCUCCUCUGACGUUAGCGGCGGACGGGUGAGUAACACGUGGAUAACCUACCUAUAAGACUGGGAUAACUUCGGGAAACCGGAGCUAAUACCGGAUAAUAUAUUGAACCGCAUGGUUCAAUAGUGAAAGACGGUUUUGCUGUCACUUAUAGAUGGAUCCGCGCCGCAUUAGCUAGUUGGUAAGGUAACGGCUUACCAAGGCGACGAUGCGUAGCCGACCUGAGAGGGGGAUCGGCCACACUGGAAGUGAGACACGGUCCAGACUCCUACGGGAGGCAGCAGUAGGGAAUCUUCCGCAAUGGGCGAAAGCCUGACGGAGCAACGCCGCGUGAGUGAUGAAGGUCUUCGGAUCGUAAAACUCUGUUAUUAGGGAAGAACAAAUGUGUAAGUAACUAUGCACGUCUUGACGGAACCUAAUCAGAAAGCCACGGCUAACUACGU